rnacentral:rRNA from 1 species
CGCUCGACAUCAGAGUUUGAUCCUGGCUCAGGAUGAACGCUAGCGAUAGGCUUAACACAUGCAAGUCGAGGGGCAUCGAGUAGAUAGCUUGCUAGUUUAUGUUCGGCGACCGGCGCACGGGUGCGUAACACGUAUCCAACCUUCCGGUAACUCCGGUAUAGCCUUUCGAAAGAAAGAUUAAUCCCGGAUAGUAUGGUGAUUCCGCAUGGUUUCUCCAUUAAAGGAUUCCGGUUACCGAUGGGGAUGCGUUCCAUUAGGCAGUUGGCGGGGUAACGGCCCACCAAACCUACGAUGGAUAGGGGUUCUGAGAGGAAGGUCCCCCACAUUGGAACUGAGACACGGUCCAA